AAAAAGGGGCUUUAAACUCCCAAACCCACUGUGAACCUUACCUCAGUUGCCUCGGCGGGAACGCCCCGGCCGCCUGCCCCCGCGCCGGCGCCGGACCCAGGCGCCCGCCGCAGGGACCCCAAACUCUCUUGCAUUACGCCCAGCGGGCGGAAUUUCUUCUCUGAGUUGCACAAGCAAAAACAAAUGAAUCAAAACUUUCAACAACGGAUCUCUUGGUUCUGGCAUCGAUGAAGAACGCAGCGAAAUGCGAUAAGUAAUGUGAAUUGCAGAAUUCAGUGAAUCAUCGAAUCUUUGAACGCACAUUGCGCCCGCCAGCAUUCUGGCGGGCAUGCCUGUUCGAGCGUCAUUUCAACCCUCGAGCCCCCCCGGGGGCCUCGGUGUUGGGGGACGGCACACCAGCCGCCCCCGAAAUGCAGUGGCGACCCCGCCGCAGCCUCCCCUGCGUAGUAGCACACACCUCGCACCGGAGCGCGGAGGCGGUCACGCCGUAAAACGCCCAACUUUCUUAGAGUUGACCUCGGAUCAGGUAGGAAUACCCGCUGAACUUAAGCAUAUCAAUAAGCGGAGGAAUUU
rnacentral:rRNA from 1 species